rnacentral:rRNA from 1 species
CCCUUAGAUGUUCUGGGCCGCACGCGCGCUACACUGAUGCGUUCAACGAGUAUACAACCUUGAUCGAUAGGUCUGGGUAAUCUUGUGAAUGCGCAUCGUGCUAGGGAUAGAUUGUUGCAAUUUUCAAUCUUGAACGAGGAAUUCCUAGUAAACGCAAGUCAUCAGCUUGCAUUGAUUACGUCCCUGCCCUUUGUACACACCGCCCGUCGCACCUACCGAUUGAAUGCUCAGGUGAGCCAUUCGGACUUUCAUCAUGCUGGUUUCCAGUUUUGAUGAAGGAAAGUCUUGCGAACCUUAUCAUUUAGAGGAAGGAGAAGUCGUAACA